CUCCCCCCAUCCGAAGGAUGACCAUAUUUGGCCCUUCAAGGCCCUUCUCCCCAGCCUUACCUCCUACUUUAUGCUCCAGCCAAAAUGGCCGCCCUGUGGUUGUCUUGCACACCCUCUACUCCUUCCAGUCUCCUCUACCUGGGAUUGGUGGUCUAACUUCUCUUCAAAAGCGAAGGCGGGAACUAGUUAUCAGCGCCAAGACGUGCGUUGCGUCUGAUCUGAUUGGUCAUGGUUGCUCAGUCCCGCCUCCGCGUCCUGACUGAGCUCUGGUAUUGGUGGAGAUGCCAGGGAGACCUCGGUGUGGAGAAAGGAGCCGGGCUGUCUUGGGCCCGGCAGGGCGGGUGUCGACUGUCAAAAGGAAAUAGGAUCAUGGCAGCAGAUGAUGACAAUGGUGAUGGAACAAGUCGUUUUGAUAUCUUUUCUG